UGGGGAAUAUUGCACAAUGGAGGGAACUCUGAUGCAGCGACGCCGCGUGAGUGAUGAAGGAAUUCGUUUCGUAAAACUCUGUUCUAUGGGAAGAAAAGGACUGUACCAUAGGAGAAAGCUCCGGCUAAAUACGUGCCAGCAGCCGCGGUAAUACGUAUGGAGCGAGUGUUGUCCGGAAUUAUUGGGCGUAAAGGGUGCGCAGGCGGCUUUACAAGUUGGAUGUGAAAUAUUGUGGCUCAACCACAAACGUGCAUCCAAAACUGCAAAGCUUGAGUUAAGGAGAGGUAAGCGGAAUUCCGGGUGUAGCGGUGGAAUGCGUAGAUAACAGGAGGAAUACCGGUGGCGAAGGCGACUUACUGGAAUUAAAAUGACGCUAAGGCACGAAAGCGUGGGGAGCAAACAGG
rnacentral:rRNA from 1 species